rnacentral:rRNA from 1 species
UACGGGGGGGGCAAGCGUUGUUCGGAAUUACUGGGCGUAAAGGGCUCGUAGGCGGCCAACUAAGUCGGAUGUGAAAUCCCCAGGCUUAACCUGGGAACUGCAUCCGAUACUGGAUGGCUUGAAUCCGGGAGAGGGAUGCAGAAUUCCAGGUGUAGCGGUGAAAUGCGUAGAUAUCAGGAGGAACACCAGCGGCGAAGGCGGCACUCUGGGCCGGUACUGACGCUGAGGAGCGAAAGCGUGGGUAGCAAACAGG